AGAGAGAGGGAGGGUGUGACUAGUGACAGAGUGAGGGAGGGAUGGGGUGACUAGUGAGAGUGAGGGAGGUGGUGAUUAGUGACAGAGGGAGGAAUGGGGUGACUAUCACUGUGUCACCCCCUUCCUCACUCUGUCACUAGUCACCCACUCCCUCCCUCACU